rnacentral:lncRNA from 1 species
AAUGGAACAAUAAAACAAAACUACCCGACCUCAAAACAAACUGCAAAACAACUAAAGUUUUAAUCCGAAGAUAGAAAACACAAACAAACAUAAAGCAAAAGGGGUAGCCGGCCGAGAUAUAAUGUUGAUGGAGUGACCGGAAACACCAUCCACCAUCAAUCUUUAGUCCAGACGGCGGGCAGUCCCACCUGAAAUUUGAAACAGGAGGCACACCUUCCUUAUUCGGAGAGUACAAUUGGUCGGCUUUCGACCAAUAUCCUCUCUAGUGCCUUCUCCCUCGAGCCCACUACCCUGUCUGCAACGCUUUCGGUCCUCUAAGAGUUGCAUCCCGCGUGAUUGUGUCGUUUCGAUAGUAGUACCAAGCUUCGAGGUCGUGUUCGACCUUUACACAUUCACAGAGCUCCGCGCGCCGUGCGGUCAUCCCCUACUAUUGCGCGGACAUUGCCGUAGUCGAGUCGUAGAGAGCGGCUGAUGGAUAUGGAGUUGGCUGAGAAAAUCCCCAAGAUAGGGGUAGAAACGUGCACUAGAUAGUGGCAGAGUGGCCCGAAUCUCUAGCUUUAUAAUUUGUAAUUAUGAGUAUCUCAAUCUGUUAUUUCAUAAUAAAUCAUGGCUACAAAUAUUUAAAAAAACCCUCAUCCUUCUGAAAACCAAACAAGUGUAUGAAAUAAAAUCAAAUGUUAUUUAUAGAUGAAGAUCCUCACAGGCAAUCCUCUGGAAGUAGACUCUCUUAUCAACAAGAUCAAAGCCAACGUUGUAGUUCUGUUGAGCCAAGAUACCAAUGCAACUAGAGUCUUCACCCUCGGAAGUUUCAAGGAAUGCCAAGCAAAAGUUGUCCCAGUUAAGUUGCACGAAGGUUCCGAAUCCGUCGAGGUACAGGUCCGCCCCGCCUUCGAAAUGGAUACCCAGAAGCGGGAAACUUUGAGCGACUUCAGCGACUCUCCCACCAAAGCAAAUCCUUCCAUUUGCUUGUUGUAUCCACACUCGAUUCCAUUUCGUGCCCCUUAGCUGUUCACGGACUGCAUAUUCCACCAUUUCGAAAGCUUCUUUCUUCAGGUAUGUGUACUGUUACAAUCCAUGAUGAGGUGAAAUUUUAGCCGGCUUACCCCCCGAAACAACAGUACAAAACUCGAACCCCGUAAUGAGAUCAACGAAAUUAAGUUCAAUUGAUCCAAAUGCUGUUAGGCCAGCUGGUUAAAGCAGUUGAUCGGAGUAGCUACGGCCUACGGAUGCUUGGACGCACAAUCACCCGUUUAUAAUAGCCAGGUUUUCAUAAACUACUUUGUUAAAUCGUACUUGAAUGAAACAAUCAUAACUAAGCAGGGUCAAAUGAUGACAAUAAAAAGUUAUAUAAACAGUCACCUGUGCUCCGGUGUCGAUCAUGACCCCGUCGUCCACGCCGGGAGUUUUCUUGAAAGCGGAAUCGGGUAUGUCCAGAGUGGACCCACCAAGGCUAAUUCGCUCCACGGUUACAUAAUACAACCCUUCUCGAUCGUUAACGGCGUCCAAACUCCUUCCAUCAGCGCUCCUUCUCCGAUCUCCAACCGAUUGAAAUCGUAGAACGGGUCAUACACGUCCCCUAUACAAUACGAAAACCUCGGCUUGCCGACCCGCCAAACUAGCGAAUCGGGUUCUGCUCCGAGACCCAUUACUCCGCUCAUGUGAGACUCCCUCGGUAGAUCUUCAGGUUUCCGACAGCAACCAAAUUGAACAGCCGGCACGGCGGUGUAUCCACUGUCCCACGUGGAGAAUGUCAGCUGUUCUGUGGCUAUGAUUCCUUCCGACGAUGGUGCGCCCACAUAUUGUAUGUUGUACUCGCAUUGGUUCGUGGUCGUAUUGCAGCUCCGGCAGGUGGGAUCACACGCCUUCAAAGUGAAAAAUAAGUUGAGAAUUUUAACUAGUUAUAAAAUUUGCAAACACACCUUCAAAGUGAAAAAUAAGUUAAUUCAAAACUUUGAAUUCAAAAUGAAUUCCUUUCAUAUACCAAACACAACAAAAUUUAUUUCGAAAUUAAUUUCAUAAAAUUUUGAAGAAUUCAUUUAUACCGUUCGGAGAGUAAAGAAUAAUGCUAAAAUAAUUAAAAACUAAAUUCCAACUCUCAUAACACUACAACAUAAAUUCGAACUCUAAUUUUUUAUCACAAAUCUAUAUAACCCAAAAAUUAAACUCUAAACCCUUUAUACUAUUUCUCGAAUUCUAUAACCGAGUGCCUACGGGUACCAGAUGGUUCUCUUUUGAUUAUGCAUUUACAUAUCAAUCUUAAUUAUCUUUGUUGGUGCGAAGAUAAUGAAAUCUUUAAGAACACUCUCUAUUUCUUUCUGCUCGUGUUUUAAAGAGAAAUCUUUCCAUACAAAUGUUAUGCAAGAGUCUUUUCUAUUCACAAUUUCGGAAUAUAUAGACACACCUUGGGUUGGAAAGUGGAGGACUUGGAGGGAUCGAAGAAGCGGGUGUUGGAGGUGGGGGAACAUGGGUGGCAAGGAAGACAUUUGACCCAGAGCAAGCUGCUCCCUGUGUCCAUUACGGCCAGCUGAGGCACCGGCGGCUCCCCAAUUGAGAAAUUGACGUAGUAGAUUGAAUGGCUACCUGGGAUAAGGUUUGCCCCUAUAUGAUCCUUUUCUGUAGAAGCUUCUACCAGUUGUUGUUGGUGUUGUAUGGAUGAUUGGUUGACUGCCGUGGGGGAGAAGAUUGAGUUGUGGUGGAUAAGUUUGAGGGUUAUUCGAGCAGAGUCAAUGCAGUUAGAGUUUGAAGUUAUUAUUAUUGUGAGCAUUAGCAGAAUACCAAUGGAAGUUGACAUUCUUAUUCUUUAACUAGCUACUGUGUGUAUUUUUUCUGGGGAAGAAGGGAAAUGGGUUAAAAAUGUAGGAAAUAGGGUGAAAGGGGGGGAAGUUUGACAAGGUAUAGGUCUGUUACUGGUAAACAAGAGAGCAAAUAAGGUAAUGAUGAAGUGGAUGGUAGUUUAAGUUAAGUGAAGCAGCAGAUGGAAAGCAAGACAGAAACAGGUUUUAUGGAAGGAACAACAAUGGUAAAGACAAGUUUAUUGUAAGGAAAUGUUAUCUACCAAGUUAUUGGAAUAAGUAAAUGUUCAUUAUGAAUUGCAGGUAUUAUCAUCAAAACAAGUACUACUUUUCCAACACACUCUGCCAUGCAUACCAUACAACAUCAGAAACAAAGCUACUACAUAUUGUUAUUAUAGAGUAGUAAAUCACGAGUUACCAAUUUAAUCUGCACCGUUUGCCGUCAAACUUGUACCUCUAGAGGCCUGGGCACUGUUACCAAUUUGCUAUUGUCUCAGCAUUUCAGCAUCAGUUGGCUUCUGCUGCCCAUGCGCUUCGGAGGAAUCAUACCAAGCAUGGCGAUUAUUGGGUACAGAAGUAUAGUAGUACUGUCGCUCAUGAACUUAAAGUUGGUACCCAUAGUUAGAAGAGUAUAUAUGUCCAGGAAGCUCUGAUGUUUGGAAACGUAGACUGCAAGUGUGCUAGCAGCAGGUGGCAGAUUCUCCACUCCCUCAAACUUUAUGUCAGGAAAAACUGGAGUAACGGUUAAUUUUGAAGGGAAAUUUUUUUGCGGUUGGGAAGCAGUUGGAGGUGGAUUCCAUUUACAGUAUCCCAAUCUAUCAUUUCUAGACACAUUACUUGAUGUCAAUGGUGAUGACUGAUAAGGUGUCAAUACAUUUUAAGGACCAUGCUUGAUCAUACAAUGACGAGUUCUCAUUCACAUGCUUUUCAUGGUCUGCAGUUUAGUUCUGAUGUGAUCUUAGGUCUGCAGUUCAUCCAGCAACCGUAAGUAAAGCGACUCAAAGUCGCAUCUAUUUUGUACAGUGAUUCUCAAACAACCAUUUCAGCUUCUUUACCGUUACUAGGAAUCCCAAUGUCCAACCUCAUUGUUGUUUUAUACUCUGCAGGCACUUCAGCCCCACAUUGAAUGCACAGCUCCACAACUACAGGAGCCUUCCCAUAGAAGCUUUUCAGUUCACGUUUCAAUUGUUGCCCACUCCCGUCAGGGAGAUGCCACACGAAUCUUGGUGGUAUCAGGUCGUUCAGCACCGCAGCCUGCCAACCAUGCUGCCCGUUUCGUUGCAGGUGCUUGUGUGCUCCCCAGAUUUGCACCUUGUGCCUACAUGGACUUCCGGACAGUACCCGCAGACUCUUACGGGAUACAUUUUCCUAAGUCUGUUACAACCUUUCGUCAUUUUCUCCGAAGCCGCUAAGGUCUCUUCGGAAAGCAAGGUUGUUUCUUCUUGACUAGACGGAGCAAAGACUUCUGAGUCUGGUAUCUCUGUCAACAGUGGCUUCAGAGGAGGUUCGGGGACUGGAUCAAGAAGUUCGCUUUCGUCUGGAUCAGGAAGACGCGUAUUGAGGAUAAAAAAGAACAGAGGUUUUACUUUUACCAGGCUGUCGACAGAAAAUUGACAAGGGGAUAAGAGUAAUAAGACUGAGUAGUAGUUGGCUGCUUAAUGGUUGUAUGAAGCAUGGCAUUAAUGAUAUGUGUCUUCUGGGUGGUUCUUCUCUGAUGAUUUGGAUCAGACUUUGCACAGGUCCACCUUUUUCCGAAUAGCGAAAUCGACAAUUUUAUAUUAAAAUUUUACAAUUUUACGAUUUCGUUAGUGUCUAAAUAUUAUGAUUUCACUUAAAAAUCAAUAAUUAGUAGAAUCAGAUAAAAUCUCAAUUAACAUCUUAAAAUUUUAUAAAUCAAUAAUUUUAUUUAUUNNNNNNNNNNNNNNNNNNNNNNNNNNNNNNNNNNNNNNNNNNNNNNNNNNNNNNNNNNNNNNNNNNNNNNNNNNNNNNNNNNNNNNNNNNNNNNNNNNNNNNNNNNNNNNNNNNNNNNNNNNNNNNNNNNNNNNNNNNNNNNNNNNNNNNNNNNNNNNNNNNNNNNNNNNNNNNNNNNNNNNNNNNNNNNNNNNNNNNNNNNNNNNNNNNNNNNNNNNNNNNNNNNNNNNNNNNNNNNNNNNNNNNNNNNNNNNNNNNNNNNNNNNGAUUGUCACUCUUGACUUUGUUUAACGAACUUAAUCAACAUCUAACUAUUUUAUCAACGUUUCGAUAUUUAUUAUUAUAAAAUCUUACGAUUUCACGACUACAAUUUUUCGUCACUAAAUUAACGAUUUCACUACUAUAAUAUAAACCAUCAUAUCAUACACCAGAGUCAACUCAAUCCAUACGGCCGGGAUUGAACAGUUGGAAAAAGAUAAGCCAAUGAGAAACAGUUCCACAAGUCUCUAUAUAAACACACACAAUACAUAAUUACACUUCUCCCAAGCCCCUCUGUUUCUCUCACUCCAAGCACUAGCAGCUAGCCAUACAGAAACCAAAACAGCAACAAUGGCUGUUUCAAGAAGCAGCCAUUGUCGUCGUCACUUCUCUUAUUGCUACAACUACAAUCAUAAUAAUAAUAAUAAUAACCUAGUCCUAAUUCCCUUUUCAUUGUUCUUCCUCCUCAUCUCUACUUGUAACUCUGCCGCCGCCGGGCUAACGACGAGAGAGCAGGACCAUGACAGAAUCUCCUCUCUUCCCGGUCAGCCGCCGGUGGCAUUCUCACAAUUCUCCGGCUACGUCACGGUCAACGAAGAACACGGGCGUGCAUUGUUCUACUGGCUCACCGAAGCUCCACCUUCUUCAAAUCCCAAGCCACUACUCCUCUGGCUCAAUGGAGGUCGCUCACUCACUUCUUUCAUCUAUCAUCAUUCAUGGCCACAAAACGUCUAUCCUUGCAUUAUUCAUUUCUGACUUGCUUCCAUACUCCAAAAUAUAGGAUCAGCCCCAAAUUUAUGCUAGCAUUUCCUUCUACUAUUACAAUUUUUUUUGUCGAACUAGACCUACACAGUAGAUUCUCGAUCAAUAUAAGAUAGGAGACAAUAAACCUCCGAGUCAAAAAACACAAAUAAUCAAUUAGUAUUUAGUCCCCGAAUCCUUCCACUAAUAUUUUUUUUUUGUUUUUUGCAAGAGUAAAUAGUUAUAUAGCACUUCCUUCUAGUCUUACUACAUGUCAAACAAAGUAGUAAAUUGAUUGCUUUGCUUGAAAAUCCAGUUUCCUUCAGUUUGACCAGGGAAAUAAUAACUGUGAUGAAGGUCAUCUGGGUUUAAUUUGUAUGGGGAAUUGCUACAAACUUUUUUCUUUUUGGAUGUGGACUGCAAUCAAUAAUUAAUGUUGCCCACCAAACCAAAAGUUAAAUAAAUAAAUAAAUAAUAAAAUGCUUUUGUAUACUUCAUUCAUGAUUACUAUAGUUUUACACCAUUGCACUUGGUUCAGCCUCUGUUGACUGAAGCCAUGUGGUGGAUGAGGUAGGACACCGCAGAUAAUGCCUGUUAUGUCAUUAUCAGAAUUUUGGGGGAGUGGGAUGGGAAGGAAACAAAAGAAGGGUGAUGAACAAAGUAAAGCUUUCACAUGUGUACAAACAACAAGUUACAGAGUAUAAUACUUCACACCUCUCGUGAUCUCUCUGUUUAUUUCUUCCUUUCUUCUUGACCCAUGAUGAUGAUGAUGAUGAACAAGAUGAUCACCUCUUAUUCCUUCUUCUUCUUCUUCCAUUUAAAAAUAAAAUUUGUGUCGCAAAAGUGUUUGAACUUUUCCAUUUUGUCCCACCAAAAAGGAAACUUUUUGCUGUAUGUUGUCCUUUGUAUUUGGUUCCUUCUCUUUUCACCUUUGUGGUGGGUAUUGUAUUUCAAGUUGACCUUCAAAGUUAGUUGUCGUAGCAUUGCAAUCAUAUAUAUAGAAAUGGUGGAUGGAAGCACUCCUACUGUUCACUUUGGUUCUUCUGUUUGAAUUUGAAGCACGCGCAUAGCAGCAGCAGCAGCAGCAAACAAACAGUGCAGAAUGGGGCAUAAAAGGGCUAAUGAUAUUGUUUCAUGACCCAGAAAUGGAGGAACCAAAACCCCACAUCCCCAAAUCUAAUCAUCAUUACUCCAACGAAUGUAGUAAUGAUUACUCGUAUUUAACACACCUACCCUAACUCAACACCUCAAACAAGUUGUGGUCGAGUGGUUGUAGCACCUGACUUAACACAUCUAACGGGUCAUAGUCUAGUGGACUAGAAGUAACGAAAAGUUGAAAUGAAAAAUUGCAGGGCCAGGGUGUUCAUCAGUGGCAUAUGGAGCAUCAGAAGAGAUUGGUCCCUUCAGGAUUAACAAAACUACAUCUACCCUCUUUCUCAACAAAUAUUCCUGGAACAGAGGUAAUUUUCAAACUUUGGUGUCAACAUCAUCCACAAAAGCAGUUUCUGAAACAAAAUAUUUGUGCUUACAGAAGCAAAUAUUCUGUUCCUGGAAUCACCUGCUGGAGUUGGAUUUUCCUACACAAACACAACCUCUAACCUCAAAGAUUCUGGAGAUGCAAGGACAUGUAUGUCGCCUAUAUAUAUAUUCCCAUGACCUCACUAUUAUUCUUUUUUUUGUUUGUUUACCCAACUGAAACUUUUAACUGGGUUAUAUUUUUUUAACAGCUCAGGAUGCUUUGAUUUUCCUCCUUAAAUGGAUGUCAAGAUUCCCGCAGUACAAAUUCAGAGACUUCUACAUUGCUGGGGAAAGUUAUGCUGGUAUAUAUUAAUAACUCAUUCAAUUUUUAACCAGCAUUUGAUUCCUAGUAACCAAAUUCAAAUCCUGCUAGGGCAUUAUGUACCCCAGCUAGCUAAGAGAAUCCACGAUUACAACAAAGCACACCCCAAUCCCAUCAUCAACCUCAAAGGAAUCAUGGUAAUUAAUUAUUGUAAAGAUAUUUACUUCUUUGUUAUAUCUGUUAAUGUUGGUUGUAAAAGUUUCGAAACUCGUUACAAUAACUUACUUUUUACAGUUGGGAAACGCUGUGACGGAUAAUUACUACGACGGGAUUGGAACCGUGACAUAUUGGUGGAGUCACUCCAUGAUCUCGGAUCGAUCUUACAGAUCGAUCCUCGAUCACUGCGAUUUCGGGGAGGAUAAGACGUCGACAAAAUGUGACAAUGCAGUGAGCUACGCCAUGAACAGGGAGUUUGGCGACAUUGAUCAGUACAGCAUUUACACGCCGUCUUGUUUGCAUCCCAAGAGCGGAGAGAACGGCACAACGAGCAGCAGCAGGUUUCUCAGGAUGAAGAAUACGGUACUGCAUCGGCCGAUUUCAGGCUAUGAUCCGUGUACUGAGAGCUAUGCCGAGAAGUAUUACAAUCGGCCAGAUGUUCAGAGGGCUAUGCAUGCUAAUGUGACUGGGAUGAUCCCAUACAAAUGGACUGCUUGCAGGUACACAAAUUUUUAUUCCAGCUUUGUAGUUGGACCAAAAUGGUAUAAAUUUAAGUUUGAUGCUAAGAUUGAACUUCUAUAGAAAUAUGAGGAUGAAGAAAAGAAGUUAUGAAUUGGAUGCAGUGAUAUACUGAUUAAGUACUGGAAGGACUCAGAUGCAUCAAUGUUGCCGACAUACAAGGAGCUGAUUGCUGCUGGUUUGAGGAUCUGGGUUUUCAGGUAUAUAUAAUCCUCAUUAUUUUCAGCCUUUCACGUCAAAAUUAUCCAAUCUUUUUGUGAAUUUUACACUUCAUUUUUCACCAAUAAACAUUAAAUGGUCAAUUUCACGAGAGCUGUCGAAGAAUCGAAUCGAGCCAAAUUUUGUCUUGCUCGAGCUCGUUCGCUCGCUUGAAAUAGUAGCUCGAGCUUGACUUGGCAAAAUAAUUCUUAGCUCGAGCUCGGCUUGGCUUGACUCGAGCUCGACUCGUUUAGAGGCCUUAACGAGUUCGAGCUCGGCUCGUUUACAGUUCUUAACCAUACAAGUUAAAUUUUGAGUUAGACUCGGAUAAACUUAUAAAAAAAUUAUAUUAUUCUAAAAAGGACACGACUCAUAUGGUCCAAAUAAGUAAUUAAUCAUUAAAAUGAGUUUUGAUAAGUAAUAAAUCAUUAAGAUAGAAUCAUUCAUCACUACUGUACUCUUAUUUUUUAAAAUAAAAAAAGAAAAUUCAAAUCAUUGAAAUAUAUAAAACCAAUUCACGAGCUACACUAAUCCAGGCAACGAACGAGCCUCAGUUGAGCUGGCAAUCGAGCCAGCUUUGAACUUUAAUCUAACUAGUACUCGAGCCUCAAACGAGCCGAAUUGGCUCCCGAGACUACAGAGCUGAGUUAGGGUCAACUCGAGCUCAAUUUUUUUAUUAUCGAACCGGCUCAUUUAAGAUCGAGUCAAGUUUCAUAAGAUGCUGACUCAGUAGCCCUUCACUUCACGUAAUGAGUCAACUUCUUUUGCACCAUUCAAUUAAUCAUGUGUGGGGUUUUGACCCAGUCUUUGUUUGUUUGUACUGUGAAGCCAUCACACCAUCAUUAUGAAGCUUCUGUGUAAAUAUCGUGACAGAGAUUAUCAGUCAACUUGUUCUUCUUUUUUACUGUGGCAUUAAGACUGUCGGUUGGGAGAAUUUCACAACAGUGCUUUUUUUCCUGUAAAAAAAUGCACUUUGUGUGUAUGGUUGGUAAUCUGCUGUACUUGAAUGCCCACUUCCAUGUACUUGAGUUAAUAUUUUAACAAAAAAUGUGAUUUUUUGUAUGUUUUUGACAGUGGGGAUACAGAUUCAGUAGUUCCAGUUACAGCCACAAGGUUCUCCCUCAGCCAUCUAAACCUGACUGUCAAAACCAGAUGGUAUCCAUGGAAAUCUGGAAACCAGGUGGGAACAAAAUCGCAAAUCACAAAUUACAAAAGUUUGAGUUUUUAAGGUACCCUAAGAUUUGAUUUAUUGGUUUAGGUUGGGGGAUGGACAGAAGAGUAUGAAGGGCUGACAUUUGCAACAGUGAGGGGAGCAGGGCAUGAAGUUCCUUUAUUUCAACCAAGAAGGGCUUUCAUUCUUUUCACAUCUUUCUUGGCUGGCAAACAACUACCAAGAUCUUCUUGACAUUUUCAGCUCCACCAGCUACCACUCAUUUAUGUAUAAGCAGACAAGUGAACCCCCAAACAAGAAAACCUGCUAGAUAUUUCUAUCCCAUGGCUACUCAAAGAAGAAGAGUUAUGGGGUAUUAUAGCUAGGUAGCAAAUGCAAUUCAGGGUUCAUUCAUUCACAAAUAUUGAUGUUGUUUAGUACCUGCAUCGUGUCCAAUUCAUUUCUGAUUGAUUCCGAGGUCAAAGAAAAUGUGAUUAUUUGUGAAACCAUGUUGAUUAUCAAUCCAAUUAGGGCCAGCAAUGGUCCCCAUAGCACAAACACAAAUUUCUGGAAGCAAUCACUUUUUUCAUUUAUUGGGAGUUGGGAAAAGAUACUUGAGUCACUACUUUACUUACUCAGAUUUAAUGUACAUGAUGAUUGAGGUGAAGAAACUGUUGACAUGUUUAUAUCCAGGGUACAAUUCAAUCUCUAAGGGUUCCAUUGCAGAAAACUGAACAUAGCAGCACUCAUCCACCUUUCUUUACUUCAAACCCUCACCAAGACCUGGAGGCAUUCCUAAGCUUUGGGCAAGGUCACCCAUUCGCUCCUUCAUGGCCUGACAAAGCCAUCAGAAGAGUACUUUUCAGUUGGGGUUACAAGUGUUGGCACGAAAUUAUGCAGAAAAGUAGAGGGAGAUGCUUACCAGGACGCUCUUUUGGUGUGCAUCCUUGUAUGCCUCCGUGACAAGAAGUGAGAGCUUCUGCAGCAGAAACAAACCAUUUUUGUCUUUCAAUUUGAUCAUUGAUUGUUUCUAAUAGAGUAUAAGCAGCAACUUCCAGUUUCCCAGUAAUGACAAGCUGUAAAGUAAUACGCUUUGGACAUCUAGCCACUAGAGACAGUAAGUGAAACAUAGCUGGUUGGUUAGCACUCACCUCUGAACCUAAUUCCAUGGCAGCCUCAGUAAUCUCUGUGCGAACAGGCUGUUGGUUACCGGAUAGUGUCACCUGCAAGUAACAUCCCAGCGAAAGUUAGGAUUAUUUAAUUGUAUCCCCGCAGCUAUCAGCUUAAUAGACUAGAAAGAUCAGAAAAUUUCAAACUAUCUCAAUCGCCAAAGACCAGAGAUAAAACACAAGAAGGUAUGAAGACUCUUACAGCUAGAAAGAUGUGUUAAAAGACUUGAAUAGAGAGAUGCAGGUGAAAUAGCAUACCUUGAUUAGUUCACCUUCACAAUAACCAUCAAACUCUGCACUGUAAAAAAACAGAAGAGACGCGCAAAAAGGCCCCAACUGAGUAAUACACAUGACAGAAACAAACCGAAAAAGCUGAGCAGGUGUCGUGUUCUUACGCAGCAAGUUCCUUUUGCACCCGAACCGCCUCAACUUGGACAACCAUCUGUGCCUUCUUCACCGUCCCAAACAGGUUCUCUGCCUUCUUCACCGUCUCAUACAGGUUCUGCAUAUUCCCCAGCAUUCCUGUCUAAAAUUAAUUGAGUAUCAACAUUGUUAAUCCUGGAGAAAAGCACCACAGUUGUUAUUGUUAGAAGGAUAACACAAAACCAGCUCAAAACGAAGUCCUAGUUAAAGAUAAAGAACUCUACUUUAUCAAAGCACCGGGGAGACCUAUCUAACUGUUUGUUUCUCCUCCAAUUCAGGGGCAUACACCAUACUGUCGGGUGGGAUCUCACAUUUUCAAUAUAAUUCAAAACCGUGACUUGUCAAAGAAGUGAAACAGAUUGAAGAUCCAAGAAAAUAGCUUAUAUACACAAAGGUUUCGUACAAUGAUCAACAAGAGAAGAAGCAUUAACAAGUCCAACCUUUGAAGAUGCAUCAUCGCCAUCUUUCUUCCCACCAAAUAGACCAUUGACUCGGAGUGAUUGACGCUGACGUUGUUUGCUCGGCCAGGAUACAGUCAAAUUACCAACUGAAGUUGCAUUUAGUUUCGCUGAAACAAAGCAGCUCAAUAAAUUUCCAUUGCUGAUGGGUCUUUUCCCUCACAUUAUGAUCAUCUCUUCACAUAAAUCAAUUAGUUUUCACCGCAUUUCAUCAAAUAAUAACUACACUAGUCUUUCUAUAAAUCCUAGCUCCGUUCUGAUCGCAAGCAGGAUGUUCCUCGACCUAAAUCCGCAUUCAGUUCAAUCCCUUUAGAGAUCCCAGAAUCGCAGAAAUGUAUCACGUUCCCUCAGCUUAAAAGAAACUAAAAGUUUGCCAUCAAAAUGAGAAAAAAAGUAUCCAAAAAGGAAGGUACCUGCAGGCAUGGAUGAAGCAGGGCAAGUUCUCCCAACGCAGAGUCCGUUGACGUUGGCCAGCUGAGCUGCCAUCGCGCUCGUCGAUGCCGUUUGCAAUUUCUUCGGCGAGGAAAGAAAUGAAUAGAGGGAAUUUUUUCCUUCUGAAGGAUAAGGUUCGUGGUUUUGCUCUGGUUCCGGUGUAGCUAGCAAUUCCACAGUAAGAUUUGGGCCUAUGUCUAAGCCCAAUUGGAUACGGAGGCCGAAGCGAAAUCGCUACUAGGAUUUGUUUGAUUCGUUGACUUAAAUAGUUCCGAAGGUUUAAUUCAAUUUUUAAUCAGGUCUUUAGGUCAAAAAAUUUAUCGACACAGUUCAGAGCGUUAUUUCCGUCUCAUUUCCAUCUCCACAUCAUCUGAAAUUUUUGUUCAAUUCGCCACAUGGAUUGUCCACAUCAAUGCAGAUAUUUUGAUUAGAAUGAAUCGAAUCAAAUAAAAAACCAAAACCAUUUAUAUAUGGUCCGUACAACUCCAUACAAAAUUAUACAUUUGGAGUUUUUAUAAAUCCAUAAAGAAAUAUAUAGACAUUUGUAUAGUUUUUGUACAAUAUUAUACUUAAUAUUACACUAACUAUAAAUAAUAUUUGAUACCAUAUUUAAGGUAAAUUUUUCUAAACAUAAUUAAAUAAAAAAUUACAUAAAUAAUCAAGCCAAACCUAAAUUAAAAAAAUAAGCAAUUAUUGAGACAAACCAAUUUUUCACUUUAACUCCACAAUUUUUGCGUGAUUGCACUUUAGUUACUCAAUUAUUANNNNNNNNNNNNNNNNNNNNNNNNNNNNNNNNNNNNNNNNNNNNNNNNNNNNNNNNNNGCCAAUCGGUUAAAAUGCACUAAACCAAUUAAAAUGUGAGCUCAAUCCACAAUCAUCCAAUUUAAAAUCUGUUACGGUUAACCCAAACUCAGCCCAGAUACGGAUUGAGCUGACAUUUAAACUGAUUUAGUGCAUUUUAACCACUUUCGUAAUUGUUUGACGCCAUCCUAACUCUCCGUAANNNNNNNNNNNNNNNNNNNNNACUUAAUUAUUUAUAUAAUUUUAUUUAAUUAUAUUAAAAUUAAUUUAUAUUUAAUACAUAUAGCUUUAAAAUACCAAUUGUAUCCUGUAUUUUUGGACGGCCGAUAUUUAUCCGUGCAUUCUUGAUCGAAUUCAAGAGUAAUUUCUGUGGCUCCACAUUUGCACUCCUCUUUCUGCUCAGCUGGAAUUCCAUCUUUCAUCCCAACUUAACAACACUGUCAUCCUCUCUCUCUCUACAACACUACUUCUCCAAUCGUUUCUCUCUUCAUCCGUCCUCCGACUCGAUCUGAUCCACCGCCAUGGUCAGACCUAUCUCCCUCCUCGCUUUCCUCUCCCUGCUCUCCCUCUUCUCCUUCCUCCUACUCCUUCAAUCUCCCUCCUCUGCCGUCGCCGAUUCCCAAUUUGAAGGCUUCGACGCCGAUGAUGACGAUGCCAUCGAGGAGCCUCUCGAUCCUUCCUCUUUCAAGCUCAACGAUCUCCCUUUGACCCAGACUGAAUCCCUAUCCACCUCAGAUCCCAAUCCUUCCUCAGCUUCCGAUCACCCCA